CACUGAUUGAGCACCUGGUGAAGGGACACAGCCCCGGAGCACAGGUGAAAGCAACUCAGGAAGGAGUGGAACCUGGUUGCACCACACCUCCCUCAGCCUCAUUUAAGGGCUGGCUGCUGUGGGUGGAGGUUCUUUGUUUGGGGAUCCCUCCUUUUGGAGUGUUUUGCAGGCCCUGAUCUUUGGGACAGGUGAGAAACAUGCUGUCCUCAGCCAAAUGCCUGCUCUCAAGCGUUAUUUGAACAGUUUCCUAAACAUCUCUCUGCAAAGUCCUGUAAUGAAAGGAGUGGUUUCCUUUGGCUCCCUUCCCAGACCUACCCAACAGAAGGAUGCUGACCUAAGGCUGUUAAACACUUUGAUGUAUGGCCGCGUCUCCUUAAGUAGAAGAUCCAUAUUCUUAAGCUAAGCUGCCAUGACACGGGGACAUUAUGAACUCUCUGAACCAACUGAAUCCUACAAAUGAGCCAUUAGUUGGCUGCACGGCGCGUUGGCUCCCUGCGCCCAAGGGGGCUCCCGUUAAAGAAGAUAAUCGUUGCUGUCCACACGCCCUGCGGGCUGCUGUGUGUUCAUUUUAAUGCAAUUUGUUUCAGCCAACCCCUUUCCAAGUCAGAAAACCCCCACGCUGCUGGGCUGGGGGGAGCUGUGGUUCUAUGGUGCCCAAUGAAGGAGGGUUCAGUGAGUUUUGCCUUUCUCCUUGGACUGGAAACUGGAGGAAGAUCUACCCAUCAUUCAUCAAGACAUGACUUCUAUUUGCCCUGAUGCCAAAUGCUAUGUGUGGCUCAUGGUAGCUGUGCCUGAGGUACCCAUUGGAAACCAGCGUCAUUGAGAGGAGAUGCCGUGGGGUAUUUGGAGAUGCUGAAAGCAGCAAAUGGGAGAUCCUGGAAGCUGCAAACACUGAGCACUGAGCCCAGCUCAUGCUCUCAGGCAGCUGUGGUGCAUCUCCGUGCUCCCCUGAGCCACAUGCAGGUGCUGGGGAGAGCAUCUUGGAGAGAUGCUCUGGUUGAAAGGAGCACUGUGGAGUCUUAGUAUGAAAAAAAAAACCUAGAAAAAAGGCUAGGAGAGGAAAAAAGUGUAAAAAUGACCGAUUUUUAUCAAGUAAGGGUAAGAUCUCAUCCAGCAAGCCCAGCAUGCAGCAAAAGCCCUGGGAGGUUUUGCACACCCUGUGCAUCCCAGCAGCACUGCUCGCCUCUCUGCUGUGCGCCGUCUCUCUCUGCUCCCAGUGUGUUGGCUCCCCUGACAGGGCUCAUCUGUCUUGUGGCACUGUCUGCAUGCAGAAGUGUGAAACACAGAUCGUCGCUGCAGAAAGGGAGGACUUCUGGGUUGUUUAUUGCCUGGUGAGAAAGGGAAAAGGGGAUUCAGUUCCUGAGAGUAGCGCGUGUAAUGCUGGAUUACUCCGUGACCUCCUCUGCAGGCAGCUGUGGGGAGCCUCCUUCGAGGAAACUUGGGUCACUUGGUAAUGGAAGCAAAAUAUUUGCUCAGAGUGAUUGUUCUUGAAGAGGCUGUUGCUGUGGUUUUAGUGAUGAGAGAGGCACAAGAAGGAGGUCUCCUCUCUGAGCACAUCAAAAUGAACGAGAUAUGCAUUCUCGACGCUUAAAUCAACAGCUAUUUGGGGGGGUUUGCUUUCCACCCCAUGAGGGAAGCUUUUGCCAGCAUUAUCUUUUGGGUUUUAGAAGUGCUGCUCUGUGCUCCAAAGCCAAGAGGGCCUUUGUUGUGUUGGAGCAGAAGGCAUAGAUCAUGGAAUCAUGGAAUUGUUUGAGUUGGAGUGGACCUGCGAAGGUCAACUGGUCCAACUCUCCUGAGGGACUAUUACCCACAUUUCCAUUGAUACUUUGGGAAUAGCAAACGGGAUGCAGUGUGGUGAGGCAUUGGCACAGCUGCCGGGGAAGUGGUGGGGUCACCAUCCCUGGAGGUGUUCCAGGACCAUGGGGAUGUGACACUGAGGGAUGUGGUUGACGGCAUGGUGGGAUGCGUUGGGUUUGGAUUUGGAGAUCUUAGUGGUCUUUUCCAACCAUGAUGAUUCUGUGAUCCUAUUGGCAUGGUGAGGAUGGGCUGGCGGUUGGACUUGAUGAUCUGAGAGGUUUUUCUCACCUCAGUGAUUCUAUGAUCUCCGUGCUGGGGGUGUAUGGGAGCGAAGUGGCCCAGUGUGGAACAACAGAACAAUGCACUCCAUCUCCUUCUGGAGAAGUGGCAUCUCACCAUGCCUGGGAACUCGAGGCAAAAUCCUUCCUGCUCCAUCAGGGAGAGAAAGUGGGGCAAAGCAGCAGUGUGACAACCACAUCCGAGAGGUGAAGCUUUCCUUUAUCCACCAGCAUGCUGGCUUUGGCCAUGUAAAUUAGUCAGCAUUAAUCCCGCGUGCUCCUAAGUCUCCUGGUAGCUGUUCAGAGCUCACUAAUACUGCUGCUUAAUCACGGCUCAGGCUCUGCUUUACAUGUCAGCCCAACAACGCUCCCAGGUCCGCCUGAUUGGGAUUUAAGUUCCGAUUUCUCUUAGAGCAUAAUCAGGCCUGAAUGGGAGAUUAAAAUAAUGAAAGUGAACUUUAAGUGACAUUCAAACACCGUCACCUGCUGCCGGCUCCGCUUCCCCCUCUGCAUUCUGGGAGCUGCAAUUUUCGGCGUCAUUCACUGCGGGGUGAUUACAGCUGCAUCUAUUCAGCGUGCUGCAGCAGCCUGAAAGGAGCGUGUUCAGCUGUCAGGACCUGCACUGUGCGUGGCUUCCAGGAAAGCUCAAUAUUUAGAGUGUGUGAUGGGGUCUGAAUGCUCACAGAAAGCCAGAACGGAUUCUGAAUUAGUUUUCUCGACGUGGCAUUUACAAAUUGUAAUGAAUACGUAUUAUGGUUGUGGCGUAUAAUAGUAAGGGCUUUAUUGAUUUACAGAUCAUUAUUUUACUAUACAUCCAGAUAACAGCAACCUGCAGAAUUACUCAUGUGGUCGGGGUCAGCUGCUGAUCCAAAGCCUCUUGUUAUCUAUUCUAUUCAGAUCCGGAGCUGGAUAAAUCACAGUCCAGCACAAACAAGCUUGAGACAAGGGGAGAACGUGAAGCAGGAGGGGUUGGGGCUGCUCUUGCUUGGGGGUCCCAUUUAUAUGGACCCCACAAAGCUGCCCAGUGGAAGGUGAUGCUACAGGAGCUGCUUGAGGUGGUAUAUUCGCACACUCAGUUAUGAGUUUCCCCAUUCUUCUUUCUUUCCUAUCUCUUGUUAUCAUAAAGGCAGAAGAAUCAGGAGGGAGGGAAAGAUUCCCCAUUGGUAUUUUGAAAUGGAAAUGCACUGCAGAAGUGGAGGAAUGAGGAAAAAGGCUAUGUUUAAGGAACAGGCUGAGAAAAAAGCUUUCUGAUGGGGGAAGGAACAGAAAUCUUCAUGGGGAGCAAAGUCUGCUGCAAUGGAGGAGAGCAAGUGACCCAGUGACCUAAUGGCACGUGUCCUGCUGCCUGGGCAUCCAUGUAUAUGGCAAAUGCACAGUGACUGCUAACUAUAGGAGUGCUGGCAGCAGGAUGCUGCUCUCUCUUAGCCACCAUUGCUGUGAAAUCAGCUUUCAGCCUGAUGUCCCCAGCCCUAUAUUUGCUCAGGGAAUGGAAUCCAAAUCCUCCUGCCCUGCAGUGAUGUACAGAUCGAGCAUUGUUCUGCUGCCUCCUCCGGAUCCCCCCUCUCCCCGAUGUCAGUGCAUGCAUCUGGUUGAUAAGGAGGGGAUGGAGGAAAGCCAAUUCCCGAGCUUGGUGUGCACAAGGAGCCCAGCACCAGUGGCACAAUGCUACCAAAAGCAGUGACAAAAUUCAGCUGAGGGACAUAGGAUGCACUGAUGCUGAGUUAGGGGAGGGAGCGUGAGGUGACAUUGCCUCUUCCAUCCCAGCACUGUGCUGUGGUCUAUGGUGGGGCCAUAUCUGCUAACUGCACAUCCAUGGGAGAGCUCUGGUGCUGUGAUGUUGUUGCAAAGUGUUCGUGCGGUGGGAGAGGAAGGAGCAGGGCAAGGAUGCAGGAAGAGACUGCUGAUGUAGUGCCUUCACCUGUACCUCCCAAGUGGUUUCACCAGGACCCUGUAACAGUGCGGCUGAUCUAACAGCAUCAUAGGAUGCUUAUGGGAGUGAUGACUUGGUAUGAGGUCGUGCCAUGUUUUCCUGCUUGGUAUCUCUGCUCCCUUCCCAUCCAUCCACAGUGACUUCUGCUGC
ensembl:lncRNA